CUCCAUGUGGCUUUGUGAUGGAGGGCUGGUCGGGUGAGGCAGUGACUGUCUCUCUACUGACUGCAACAUCUAGAAGUUUACUGUUCUGACCUCCCAAUCAUCAUCUGCAAGCCAAAGAAGAUUUUUUCUCCUUAUUACUUUCCAGUUAUCUUGUUUGCCCUUCCAAUCAACUGCAAUCCGCUGAUUAGGACUCCUCAUUAUUUGGUUUUGCGGAAAAGAAACUUGAUCCACAAUGAAUCCACAACAAAGAAUAUGAAAACCAUCUUGAUCCUACAUAACAUAAUCUGAUGCGGACACAUGGAUGACUCUGUAUCCCUCUGUCUUCAGUUCCUUCACCCUGGCUCGCAAGACCGUUUGUGACAUAUCUAAAAAUGAAGUAAAACAGGCAACUUUGUCUACAUGUGUGUUUCCAGAGCUCUGGUCCUCUACAUAAAACAAAGAUAUUUGUAUGCUACAUGCCAGCAUUUUGCUUAUACUCCACUCUUGUGAUGUCUAAACUUGUAGCCUAUAACACUCUGCUAAGACUGUAUCCAAAGGCUGUAUUCAGAGGGUACAGGUGCAGCGGUGGAUUUAUACUUUCCUGUUGCAGCGGUGGAUUCUGAGGGUCCUGAGUCAGCGGUGGAUUCUGAGGCAAUUUGUCCAGUAGUGGAUUCUGAGUGUCCUGGUUUUGGCUUCAAUAAAUAGGGCCCUGGUGCAGUGGUGGAUACAUUGAGGCCUCUAUAAGCAGUGGAUACAUAGUCUCCAUGUAAGUUGUUGUAUACAUAGGGUCCUGAUAAAGUGGAGGAUACAUAGGGUCCUGUAAAAGUAGUGGAUACAUAGGGUCUUGAUGCAGGGAUGGAUACAUAGGGUUCUGCUAAAAUUGAGGAUACAUAGUGUCCUGUUACAGUCGUGGAUACAGAGGGUUCUGUUGCAGUGGUGGAUACAUAGGGUCCUGCUGAAGUGGAGGAUACAUAGGGUCCUGUAAAAGUAGUGGAUACAUAGGGUCUUGAUGCAGGGAUGGAUACAUAGGGUUCUGCUAAAAUUGAGGAUACAUAGUGUCCUGUUAUAGUCGUGGAUACAGAGGGUUCUGUUGCAGUGGUGGAUACAUAGGGUCCUGCUGAAGUGGAGGAUACAUAGGGUCCUGUAAAAGUAGUGGAUACAUAGGGUCUUGAUGCAGGGAUGGAUACAUAGGGUUCUGCUAAAGUUGAGGAUACAUAGUGUCCUGUUACAGUCGUGCAUACAUAGGGUUCUGUUGCAGUGGUGGAUACAUAGGGUCUUGGUGCAGGGAUGGAUGCAUAGGGUCCUGCAAAAGUGGAGGAUACACAGGGUCCUGUUUCACGUAUGGAUACAUAGGGUCCUGAUAAUGUCGAGGAUACAUAGGGUCCUGUUAAAGUAGUGGAUACAUAGGGUCUUGGUGCAGGGAUGGAUACAUAGGGUUCUGAUAAUGUCGAGGAUACAUAGGGUCCUGUUAAAGUAGUGGAUAGAUAGGGUCCUGCUGCAGUGGUGGAUACAUAGGGUCCUGGUAAAGUGUAGGAUGCAUAUGGUCCUGUUAAAGUGGUGGAAACAUUGGUACUUGCUGCAGCAGUGGAUACAGAGUAUACUGGUAAAGUGGUGGAUACAUAGGUUACUGUUGCAGUGGUGGAUACAUAGGGUCCUGGUAAAGUGGUGGAUACAUCUGUUCCUGCUGCAGGGGUGGAUACAGAUUCUCCUGGUAAAGUGGUGUAUAGAUAGGUUCCAGGUGCAGCGCUCGUUGCAUACUCUCUGUGUGUAGAGCUUGUUACAUAGUCUCCACGUGUACAGCUGGAUACAAAGGUUCCUGCUGUAGCAUUGGAUAUACAAGAAGGAUUAUCUGAUCUGGACAUUCUUUGUCUUUCUUCUGUCAACAGUUGCAUGAAAGUGGAAAUCAUGCGUGUGAUGGUAAUAGUCUCAUACUGCCAUGCUAGCAUUUGAUUUAUACUGUGCUGCAUCUGUUGGUAGUUGAUUGCUGCCACAUUCUGUGAUGAAACAAGAUGAUCGUAAAAAUUUGCAAGAGUGACAAGUGCUUGAUUCUGUUGUCUUUGUGUUGUGUUGAGAAUCUGUAUAUUAUUAUUCAGCUGAUUUAUUUGAUGUUCAAUUUUUUUCAUUUCUUCAUUUCUAUUCCUCUCAAUUAGCUGCAUGGUUUCCUUUAAAGAAUCCUGUUGGCUAAUGGUUUGUGAUCUGCUAACGUCACAUUCUGUGUGUAUAAAAAGUUCUAGGUACAGUUAAUACAUCAAUUUACAGACAAUUUAUUAAGUAUAGUUAGAAGAACCAAAAAAUCAAGUUAUAAAAAAACCAGUAUCUAUUAAUGAUAGUGGAUCUCAUUAAAAUCUAUGUUUUAUACAUUAAAAAAAUUUACCUUGAUUUGUAGAGUCCAGGAAUUGGUCUUGAAGACCAUGGUCAAUUACACUAGAAUGUGCAGUCUCUGCAUUCAAUUCCACCUGGUUGGUAUCUUCUGUAUCAAUAUUACUUUUCUGGCUGUGCAAUACAGGCUCCUCAUUAAUGUUAUCCUGUGUCUGUGUGGCAGUCACCAUGUUGCUUUCUAUGGCUUAAAACAUAAUAGAUAAAUACCAUUAAUCUUAAACAUAGUUUUUAACCAUAUUGAAUAUCAAUGAUAGUACAUUUUAAUUAUAUUGAUCAAAAUAAAUACCUUUAUCUAACAUUAAAGGGUUUAGCAUGGUUGAAUUUUCUUCCUCCAUGAAAGGAUCAUCCAUUGUUGAUUGUUCUUGCCUCAUGGAUGUUUCAUUUACCGUGGAAGUCUCUACCGUAGUGGAACUUUGAACCACAGAAGAAUAUUCUUGCAUCAUUGAUGUUUGGUCCGCCGUGGAAUGAUCAUCCACUCUUGCCGAAUGUUUCAGCAUUGAUGGUUCGGCCACAAAGGAAGUAUCAUCCACUGUCGAAGUAUGUUGCAGCAUUGAUGGUUGGUCCAACAUGGUAGCAUGGUCCGCUGUUGCAUCAUGAUGCAGCAUUGAUGGUUCGUCCACCAUGGAAGGAUUGUCCAAUGUUAAAAUAUGUGGCAUCACUGAUGGUUCAUCCGCAGUUGGAGGAAAAUUGUCUGUCAUAACUGUUUUUGUUUCAGAAAAAGAAACUUUCCUUGAAAUUGUUGUAAAGGAACCUGAAAUAAAUAAUAGGUAUAUUUAACAUUG